CAUUUUUCCUACAAACAAAGAUAAGCACAUGGACCUUUGGAGACUUGGUGGGGAUGGUAUGGAAGAGCUCUUUUCCGUGUGAGAUAUCCAUUUCUCUGGGUUGGUGAGUACUCCCAAAAUCACUGUGUGUACACAUGAAGAUUUGAACAUUUGGAGUGACUUGAAGUGGAACCACUAUCAGAAUUGAACCAUAAAGGAGUGAUCACUUUUGAAUGGAGUGUUUUUCUCCCACCUGAGUGGGGGGGUUUUUUUCUCACCUUUGUGUGUUUUUAUGGAGUGACACCUAACCUAAAGUGGUAAUUUCCUACGGAUCUGGGGUAACCACCAGUUGGCAACGGACAAUUAUUUGUUGUUGGAGUAAAUGAGUUUUGGGAUUUCCAGCAAGGGUUCCUGGUUUUGAACCUUUACCAUGGCAGUGCCACUACAUAACCGUUUCCAGGCUCUAGUUAGUUUAAAUGAUGAGGGGAUGGUAAGACAGGUGAACAAAUUGGCGGCCUUUAUUAAACCCUCCUCGCCUAACCAACAGACCCUGGCAAAGGCCCAUUCCAGUUAUGCGGC